GGCGGGAUAGCUCAGAUGGUAGAGCAGAGGACUGAAAAUCCUUGUGUCGGCAGUUCGAUUCUGCCUCCCGCCA
rnacentral:tRNA from 1 species